CCAGCAGCCGCGGUAUACGAACCGUCCAAGCGUUACUCGGAAUUACUGGGCGUAAAGCGUGCGUAGGUGGUCGUUUAAGUCCGUUGUGAAAGCCCUGGGCUCAACCUGGGAACUGCAGUGGAUACUGGGCGACUAGAGUGUGGUAGAGGGUAGCGGAAUUCCUGGUGUAGCAGUGAAAUGCGUAGAGAUCAGGAGGAACAUCCAUGGCGAAGGCAGCUACCUGGACCAACACUGACACUGAGGCACGAAAGCGUGGGGAGCAAACAGGAUUAGAUACCCUGGUAGUCCACGCCCUAAACGAUGCGAACUGGAUGUUGGGUGCAAUUUGGCACGCAGUAUCGAAGCUAACGCGUUAAGUUCGCCGCCUGGGGAGUACGGUCGCAAGACUGAAACUCAAAGGAAUUGACGGGGGCCCGCACAAGCGGUGGAGUAUGUGGUUUAAUUCGAUGCAACGCGAAGAACCUUACCUGGCCUUGACAUGUCGAGAACUUUCCAGAGAUGGAUUGGUGCCUUCGGGAACUCGAACACAGGUGCUGCAUGGCUGUCGUCAGCUCGUGUCGUGAAGGUGUUUGGGUUAAAGUCCCCGC
rnacentral:rRNA from 1 species